ensembl:snoRNA SNORD58 Small nucleolar RNA SNORD58
UUGCAGUGAUGACUUAUCUUAGGACACCUUUGGAUUUAAUCGUGAAAAGAAAUGUUAUUUCUGAGCAAC